GACGAACGCUGGCGGCGUGCCUAAUACAUGCAAGUAGAACGCUGAAGAGAGGAGCUUGCUCUUCUUGGAUGAGUUGCGAACGGGUGAGUAACGCGUAGGUAACCUGCCUUGUAGCGGGGGAUAACUAUUGGAAACGAUAGCUAAUACCGCAUAACAAUGGAUGACUCAUGUCAUUUAUUUGAAAGGGGCAAAUGCUCCACUACAAGAUGGACCUGCGUUGUAUUAGCUAGUAGGUGAGGUAACGGCUCACCUAGGCGACGAUACAUAGCCGACCUGGGAGGGUGAUCGGCCACACGGGGACUGAGACACGGCCCAGACUCCUACGGGAGGCAGCAGUAGGGAAUCUUCGGCAAUGGGGGCAACCCUGACCGAGCAACGCCGCGUGAGUGAAGAAGGUUUUCGGAUCGUAAAGCUCUGUUGUAAGUCAAGAACGAGUGUGAGAGUGGAAAGUUCACACUGUGACGGUAGCUUACCAGAAAGGGACGGCUAACUACGUGCCAGCAGCCGCCGUAA
rnacentral:rRNA from 1 species